rnacentral:rRNA from 1 species
GAUGAACGCUGGCGGCGUGCCUAACACAUGCAAGUCGAACGGAGUCCAGCCUUUAAGACCUUCGGGUCAAAGAGGGGAAGACUGAGUGGCGGACGGGUGAGUAACACGUGGGCAACCUGGCUCAUAGAGGGGGAUAACAGAGAGAAAUUUCUGCUAAUACCGCAUAAGCACACACUGCCGCAUGGCAGAGGGUGAAAAGAGAAUCGCUAUGAGAUGGACCCGCGUCUGAUUAGCCAGUUGGCAGGGUAAGAGCCUACCAAAGCGACGAUCAGUAGCCGAUCGGAGAGGAUGAACGGCCACAUUGGGACUGAGACACGGCCCAAACUCCUACGGGAGGCAGCAGUGGGGGAUAUUGCACAAUGGGGGGAACCCUGAUGCAGCGACGCCGCGUGAGUGAAGAAGUAUUUCGGUAUGUAAAGCUCUAUCAGCAGGGAAGAUAAUGACAGUACCUGAAGAAGAAGCCCCGGCUAACUACGUG